rnacentral:lncRNA from 1 species
CUUCCCUUGAAACCAUGAGCUAGAUUAAAUCUUUCCCAUUUUAAGUCAAAGGUGUAGGAUAUUGUUUCAAAAUUGAAAAAUAAGUAGGCAUCAAAAAUCCAUAAAGAAUUAUGAAACUCAAAUGGCAUUCAAGUGUACAAAAGAGGUAAUGUGGGAGAAGUUCAAGGCUGGCUGGGCCAGGUGCACCCCACUCCUGUCUCCUGAGCUAACUCGCCUAAAUUCCUCCAAUAAGAUACCACCAAAUGUCAAAUGCUCCUCCCAUGCUCCUCCCCAUGGUUGUCCCCA